ensembl:lncRNA
CAUAGGGCAUUGAGCAAGACCUGAGAUGACAUGAGGAAUCCUUAAAAGGAAGCAGACUCAAGAGGGAAUUGUGCUAUUAUAAAUCAUUACAGUCUAAUAGUAAAGACAAACAGUACUGAGUGUGUUGAAAGGAUAGGAGUCCUGCGAUGAGCACAGGACAGUGUUUAUGAUUAUAGCAGUAGGUUAACUUUCAACAUUUCAAGCAACAUCCAUCUCUGCCUUUUUUCUGUUAUUUCUCUCAGAUAACUUUGGUGUGUAUGUUGUAUGUGUGCAAGAGUGUAACGUUAAAGAAAGGAAGUGGUUUCAGAACUCCAUCUGCACCCUGCCUGCCUGUCAUCUGGGAAUACUUGCCUGGAAAUGGUUGUGAGCCUGGAGCCUAUCCCAGAGAAAUUGGGGCACAAGGUGGAGGACACCCUGGAUGUGGUGCCAACCCAUCACAAGGCACAACUGCAUACACAGUCACACACUACAGACAAUUUGGAAACGCCAAUCAGCCUACAAGGCAUGUCUUUAGACUAGGGGAGGAAACUGGAGUACUGGGAGAAAAUCCCUGAAGCACAGGGAGAACAUGCAAAAACUCCACACACACACAGGGCGGAGGCGUUAUUCGAACCCCAACCCCGGAAGUGCGAGAAAAAUAGAGAGACAAAGGAAUGCCUUGGGGAGCCAGAGCAGGGGGGG